rnacentral:tRNA from 1 species
AUCUAAAUAGUUUAAGAGUAAAAUGUUGGUUUGUGGUGCCGAUGAUAUAGUUGUAUAUUUUGGAUU